rnacentral:rRNA from 1 species
UACGUAGGGUGCGAGCGUUGUCCGGAAUUAUUGGGCGUAAAGGGCUCGUAGGCGGUCUGUUACGUCGGGAGUGAAAACUCGGGGCUCAACCCCGAGCCUGCUUCCGAUACGGGCAGACUAGAGGUAUGCAGGGGAGAACGGAAUUCCUGGUGUAGCGGUGAAAUGCGCAGAUAUCAGGAGGAACACCGGUGGCGAAGGCGGUUCUCUGGGCAUUACCUGACGCUGAGGAGCGAAAGUGUGGGGAGCGAACAGG